CUGGGCCCUGGCUGCCUCCUGGCACCAAGGGGCGCCCGUGGCUCCCCGGGAGGGGCCGGAGGGCCUCCGGCUUCCAGAGCCCGAAUGAGAGCCUGGGAGCCAGGGCUGGGGGGCCAGACACAGUGAUAUUGGGCAGCCCGGGAGAGGGUCUCUGCGGCCGUUCUCCGGCC